rnacentral:misc_RNA from 1 species
UCCGCAUGAGGACGCGAUAGUCGGUUCAGUCUAAUGUCCUAGGUUCAGUCAACCUUUCCUUGUCAGUUUUCCUAGCUUAGCUAGGUAAUUAGUUUAUGGUAAAACCGAACAUGUGACAUCUCACUGUCCUAUCAUUUUUCAUAUUUCAUCAUUGAAUUGUUUGAAUCAUAGUAAAUCUUUAUAAUUUAAUUUUUGACGUAUUAGGUAGAAAGUAAGGAUUAACGUUUCGUAAAGCAUGAUGAAAAACGAAACCGAAACUAUUGAACAACAUUUUUAUAAUUUCUUGAAAGUCAACGGCGGAAAUGAAGAUAUUGAGUCUUCCAAAGGAUUUUUACGUCUCCAUUUCCCUAAAGAACAUGCUCAAUUACACACUCUUAACGAACUUAUUCAACUAAUAAUAAACAAUAAUAUGCCUAUGAUAGAAAGUAUCGAAUUGAUAAAAUGCGUGGUCAAAACAUACUUAAAUAAUUCUGAAUUGGGAAAUUUUAUAAGCGAUUAUGAAUAUCUAAUGAAAAAUAUAGGUACAGAAGAUACUAUAACUGUUUACCACCUAUACAAAAAAAUAGCAGAUUUUAUUGAAAAUAAAAUUGGUUCGAGUAACGUGCAGAAUUUGAAAAAUGAUUUUAAACAUAUUAUCGAUUCGGAAAGAGUAUUUGAUACCAUCGACACUUUUAGUCAACUUUUUGGAAUUCUUGAAGAUAGAGAUGCGUUAAACGACAAUGAUGUCAGUCCUUUAGAACAUAUUUUAAAUAAACUGGAUCGGAAUGAUGAUAUAGAUACAAUUAAACGUGUAUUGAACGUCUUUAUAAAACUUUCACACAUGCAGUAUAAAUGCAAAAUAUGUAAAUGCCAAACCAAUUUUAAACCAUUUCGCAUUCCAAAUGAAGAUUUUGAAGCACCUAAGCCUGCUGAAACAUUGGUGCCAAAAGAAUCUGAUGAAUUACAAGCAGUCAUCAAUUAUUUGUGCAAAAAUUUGGGUCCAGAUUGGAAAAAGCUUGCUCGUGCUUUGAGAAUUCCUGAAUCUAGAAUACAAUCAAUCGUGCACGACCACAUCAGACAGGUAGAAGAACAAGCAUAUCAAAUGAUGAUGCUCUGGAGAACAACUAAUGAAAAUCCAACUGUGGAUAAAUUGCUAACUGCUUUAAAAAGUCCAAUAUGUGAGAAAAUGUCAUUAGUUAGAGAUAUAAAAACAGGAAAACAUUUACAGUUCUAAAGUUUGAUAUAUUCCUUUGUACGAAGUCUCAGUCCUCUUGACGUCUGUCAGAAGACCAGAAAUUUUCUCAAUUUGUCCAAGUGAAUCCGUGAAGAGCAGGAUCAGCAUUCGGAUCGAUAGUUUGAUUAACCGGAGGAACUUCGCUUUUUUUCCAAAAGUUCAAUCGCUUCAGCAUAUAUUCCACAACCUA